CCUACGGGAGGCAGCAGUGGGGAAUAUUGGACAAUGGGCGAAAGCCUGAUCCAGCAAUGCCGCGUGAGUGAUGAAGGCCUUAGGGUCGUAAAGCUCUUUUACCCGGGAUGAUAAUGACAGUACCGGGAGAAUAAGCCCCGGCUAACUCCGUGCCAGCAGCCGCGGUAAUACGGAGGGGGCUAGCGUUGUUCGGAAUUACUGGGCGUAAAGCGUGCGUAGGCGGUUAUUCAAGUCAGAGGUUGAAAGCCCGGGGCUCAACCCCGGAACGGCCUUUGAAACUAGGUAGCUAGAAUCUUGGAGAGGUCAGUGGAAUUCCGAGUGUAGAGGUGAAAUUCGUAGAUAUUCGGAAGAACACCAGUGGCGAAGGCGACUGACUGGACAAGUAUUGACGCUGAGGCACGAAAGCGUGGGGAGCAAACAGGAUUAGAUACCCUGGUAGUCCACGCCGUAAACGAUGAUAACUAGCUGUUCGGGUACUUGGUAUCUGAGUGGCGCAGCUAACGCAUUAAGUUAUCCGCCUGGGGAGUACGGUCGCAAGNUUAAAACUUAAGGAAUUGACG
rnacentral:rRNA from 1 species